rnacentral:rRNA from 1 species
GACGAACGCUGGCGGCGUGCCUAAUACAUGCAAGUAGAACGCUGAAGGAGGAGCUUGCUUCUCUGGAUGAGUUGCGAACGGGUGAGUAACGCGUAGGUAACCUGCCUGGUAGCGGGGGAUAACUAUUGGAAACGAUAGCUAAUACCGCAUAAUAGUAGAUGUUGCAUGACAUUUGCUUAAAAGGUGCAAUUGCAUCACUACCAGAUGGACCUGCGUUGUAUUAGCUAGUUGAUGAGGUAACGGCUCACCAAGGCAACGAUACAUAGCCGACCUGAGAGGGUGAUCGGCCACACUGGGACUGAGACACGGCCCAGACUCCUACGGGAGGCAGCAGUAGGGAAUCUUCGGCAAUGGACGGAAGUCUGACCGAGCAACGCCGCGUGAGUGAAGAAGGUUUUCGGAUCGUAAAGCUCUGUUGUAAGAGAAGAACGAGUGUGAGAGUAGAAAGUUCACACUGUGACGGUAGCUUACCAGAAAGGGACGGCUAACUACGUG